UACGGGGGGUGCAAGCGUUGUUCGGAAUUACUGGGCGUAAAGGGCUCGUAGGUGGCCAACUAAGUCAGACGUGAAAUCCCUCGGCUUAACCGGGGAACUGCGUCUGAUACUGGAUGGCUUGAGUUCGGGAGAGGGAUGCGGAAUUCCAGGUGUAGCGGUGAAAUGCGUAGAUAUCUGGAGGAACACCGGUGGCGAAGGCGGGUCUCUGGGCAGUAACUGACGCUGAGGAGCGAAAGCGUGGGGAGCGAACAGG
rnacentral:rRNA from 1 species